GACGAACGCUGGCGGCGUGCUUAACACAUGCAAGUCGAACGGUGAAAGCGGAGCUUGCUCCGCUGGAUCAGUGGCGAACGGGUGAGUAACACGUGGGCAACCUGCCCCUGACUUCGGGAUAACUCCUCGAAAGAGGUGCUAAUACCGGAUACGAAUCCUGCAGGCAUCUGCGGGAUUGGAAAGUUUUUCGGUCAGGGAUGGGCCCGCGGCCUAUCAGCUUGUUGGUGAGGUAGUGGCUCACCAAGGCGACGACGGGUAGCCGGCCUGAGAGGGCGACCGGCCCAACUGGGACUGAGAAACGGCCCAGACGCCUACGGGAGGCAGCAGUGGGGAAUAUUGCGCAAUGGGCGAAAGCCUGACGCAGCAACGCCGCGUGAGGGAUGACGGCCUUAGGGUUGUAAACCUCUUUCGUCCGGGACGAUAAUGACGGUACCGGAAGAAGAAGCCCCGGCUAACUUCGUGCCAGCAGCCGCCGUAA
rnacentral:rRNA from 1 species